rnacentral:misc_RNA from 1 species
UGAAAACGAUAUCAAACUGUUAACGAAGGGUAUAAUAUAAAUCUGCAAAACAAAAAACCAUGUUUGUUGUGUAUGAAUUGUUUAUUUAUGUAUUACACGUUAUUUAUACAUUUAGAACUCUUUUGUGCAUUUUUGAAACGUUUGUGGAUGUAAAAUUACAACUCAAGUUAACAAGUCUCUCUGUAUUUUUGAAGAGUGUCAAACAUUGACUUUGUUUCUUAUUUUUCCUGCGAAGUAGUUGGAAUUGAAACAUUAUUUUUUACAAUUUCAAGAAAAAAAAAAUUUAUACACUUAGAACUCCAGUUUUCCGGUAUUUGUAAAGUUUCCUUUCCAAUGUAAAUGAUAUGUGCAUCAAUUUACAAGCAUUAACUAGCAGUUUACAGCACACCUAAACUUAUUAUAUUUUGUAUUCCAUUUUUUAUUUGUAUACAUUUAUUAAAUUAUAGUGCAAUAUUUUGUUAUUGAUACCAUUGUAGUAUUUAGUUAAAACUUCUCUCCAAAGUCUACUUAUUGAAAUAAAGAAGUCUGAUACAAUU